rnacentral:rRNA from 1 species
UACGUAGGGUGCAAGCGUUGUCCGGAAUUAUUGGGCGUAAAGAGCUCGUAGGCGGUUCGUCGCGUCGGCUGUGAAAACCCGGAGCUCAACUCCGGGCCUGCAGUCGAUACGGGCGGACUGGAGUGUUGCAGGGGAGACUGGAAUUCCUGGUGUAGCGGUGAAAUACGCAGAUAUCAGGAGGAACACCGGUGGCGAAGGCGGGUCUCUGGGCAACUACUGACGCUGAGGAGCGAAAGCGUGGGGAGCGAACAGG